UCAGUAUAUAUUUUAAUUAAAAUAUUAAUUUUGGAUAUUAAUGAUAAUAUAUUUUAUAUUUAUACUGAU
rnacentral:tRNA from 2 species